CUUCACUACAGGUUUCCUCCAACUGCUGCUACUGUUAGUUCAUCGCUUCUCUUGGGUAUAUGUGGCCUUCCAGACACCAUUUUUAGGAAUGCUGUGGAAAUGGCUUUGGGUGAUUCUAAGUGUUAUCGGCUUGAAAAUCCUAACGCAAGAUUGUCGUGUUUCUUUAACAAGUUUCCUUAAGGUAUCCCUCAGCCGACAGUCAAAGUUUAAUCCUAUCGAAGCAUAGAGAUCACCAAAGUGGAUUUUGCCUCUACCAACAAAACAUUUUUCAUAUGCACGGCCAGGAAUCGAACCACUGUCAAUAUGUUUAAGAGACCUAGCUAUCUACCAACAGUACCAGGCUUUGUUGGUUGAUCUUCAAAAUUUUAAGUCAUAGUUCGGGAAUCUAUUAUACAUAGGGAAUGGCGAAAGCUCACACCCAUGAUACAUUCAUUUAAAAUAAUUAUCUUAAUUCAUUGUGCAUAUUAGUGUUUAAAAACUAAGUUCGGCCAUCGACUCGGCCGAGAUCAGGGGUAACAAGUUCAAUCGGGAAGUCACGGGGUCAAUUCGUUGACCCGAUUUUAUACAUUAAGAAAAUAUAAAUAUAUAUCCUAUAUUAAAAAUUCAAAAUAUUCAAAUCACCAAUCAUCAAAGAUUCAAAAUAUACUUAACAUAAUUCAACCAAUUACAUCCACAAGUCAAUACUACACAAGCUAAUUAAAGUAUCAAACUAUCAAAGUAUAAAACACAUAUUCCAGUGGAGUUAAUGAAAAGUUAUAUCGUUAAACCCAAGCCCUCCUUGUUAUUCUCACACACCUAUAACAGCAUGUGAAAGGAGAUCUAUUACCUAAAAGAAAACGCCGGAGGAGAGGCGGUAACACGACGAAUCAACUGUGGGGAGAGAAGCACCAGCAAGGCAGAUGACAGGGGGAAAGAAGACCCAAGAGGAUAGGAGGAACCACCAUCAUAGUGGAGGGGAUCACCGGAUCAGGGAGAUUGAGUCUGGGUCUAGGUCUGAGAGAGAAAAUUAGAAGAGAAGAAGAAGAACGAUUCAGAUUUCAGCUCUAGUUCUAGAUCUUGGCAGCAACAAGUUUUUUUACACACCAAACGAAGUCCUUUCGUGUGAAUUUUUUUUUAAAAAAAAUGCAGUGACAUCCUCUGACUUAGGAGUCACGGGUUCAACCGGGGGAUUUCGGGGGUCAGAGCGAUCAACGUGUAUUCAGGGUCUAACUGAUGACCCCAACUCUCAGAGAGAGGGGCCAGUGAUAUGGCGGGGUCUAGGGGUGCUAAACAAACCAGGGACAUUUGGCUCGGCUCGUGAAGACCUGAGCUUACAUGUCUAAAAUUGGUUAUUGGCACCAGGCUUGGCCUUGUAUAAAAGCUCGUUUAAUAAAAAGGCCUCAAGCUCCAAUUCAAAAGCUCGGCCUUAAAGUCUCUUAGGCUGGCAUAGUAUAUUAUUUUUUAUAUUUUUUAUACUACUUGUAAUAGCCUUCUCUUUCUCCUCAAUCCAUUUCAUCUUAUUUUAUUGG